GCGCGGGUGGCGGAACUGGCAGACGCGCUAGAUUCAGGUUCUAGUAGGGAAACCUGUGCGGGUUCAACUCCCGCCCCGCGCA
rnacentral:tRNA from 1 species